rnacentral:rRNA from 1 species
GUGCAGCAGGCGCGAAAAUUUUGCAAUGCGCGCAAGCGUGACAAAGUCAUCCCGAGUGCCGUCCGCUGAGGAUGGCUUUUCCCCAGUGUAGAUAGCUGGGGGAAUAAGGAGAGGGCAAGUCUGGUGUCAGCCGCCGCGGUAAUACCAGCUCUCCGAGUGGUGGGGAUGUUUAUUGGGCCUGAAGCAUCCGUAGCUGGCUGAGCAAGUUCUCCGUUAAAUCCAGCGAUUUAAUCGUUGGACUGCGGGGGAUACUGUUCGGCUAGGGAGCGGGAGAGGCCGACGGUAUUCUCGGGGUAGGGGUGAAAUCCUAUAAUCCCGGGAAGACCACCAGUGGCGAAGGC